CUCUCACUUGCCCCGGCGCUGUCGCUAUGGAGCUCAAUGUACUGCAGUGGCUGUCGACCUGGAACUUUCUGAUUUAGGUCCUUUCUCUGUGGAACUACUUCGUGGAAUUAUACUCCACACGAGCCUUACUUUCCUCUAGAUGUACCGGGCUUCCUCGAGCAUCAUCGGGGCCAGAACAGAGAAAGAAGGAAGGAUAAAGGGAAUCCAGCAAAGCGAUUUAAGGACGAUGUUUAAAAAAUGAACUCAAAUAAUGGGUAAAGGUAAAAGUGGGAAGAAAAAAAAAAAAAAAGGAAAGUGUACUGAAAGCAGCAAUACGAAGAAAAUUUAAAGAACAGAAUGAUAGCAACAAAGCCCACAGAAGGCCUUAAAAUACGUAGAAAGGAAAAGGGAGAGAUAGUAUGUCAAAAGGCACAACAGUCUCCCAGAUGCCCUAGCCUUUCCAUUUCCAGCUUCCCAAGAGAACUGAAAACAUGUCUACGCAUACGUUCACAGCCGCAUGAUUCAUAAUAGCACAAACCUGGAAUAACCCAAAUAAUUAUCAGCCAACGAAUGGGUAAACAAAUUGUGGUAUAUCCAUACAAUGGAAUAGUACUCAAUGGUAAGAUCGGGGAAGUACUCACAUACACAACAACACGGAUGAGUCUUGAAAACUGUUACACUCCACGAGAGAAGUUAGCCAUACGUUGUGUUUGUUGUAUCUGGUAUAUAAUGUAUUCAUAUGAAAUGUCCAGAAUAGCCAAAUCCAUCGAGACGGAAUAUAGGUUGGUCAUUUAGAGCUGGGACCGAGCGGUAGUAGGGAUUGACUGUUUAUGGGUAUGGGAUUUCUUUUUGGGGUGAUGAAAAAGUUCUGAAAGUAGACAGUGGUGAUGAUUAUACAACCCUGAAAAUAAUAAAAAAACACUGAAAUUUAUCCUUGAAAAUACCGAUCUUUAUGGUAGGUGAAUUAUAUCUCAAUGAAGCUGCUACUUAAUAAAA